UGGAAGUUAGCUCAAUGGUAGAGUGCUUGCCUCACAUGCAUGAAGCCCUGGGUUCAAUUCCUCAGUACCAC
rnacentral:tRNA from 1 species